AUUGAACGCUGGCGGCAGGCUUAACACAUGCAAGUCGAGCGGGGGAAGGUAGCUUGCUACCGGACCUAGCGGCGGACGGGUGAGUAAUGCUUAGGAAUCUGCCUAUUAGUGGGGGACAACAUCUCGAAAGGGGUGCUAAUACCGCAUACGUCCUACGGGAGAAAGCAGGGGAUCUUCGGACCUUGCGCUAAUAGAUGAGCCUAAGUCGGAUUAGCUAGUUGGUAGGGUAAAGGCCUACCAAGGCGACGAUCUGUAGCGGGUCUGAGAGGAUGAUCCGCCACACUGGGACUGAGACACGGGCCAGACUCCUACGGGAGGCAGCAGUGGGGAAUAUUGGACAAUGGGGGGAACCCUGAUCCAGCCAUGCCGCGUGUGUGAAGAAGGCCUUAUGGUUGUAAAGCACUUUAAGCGAGGAGGAGGCUACUUUAGUUAAUACCUAGAGAUAGUGGACGUUACUCGCAGAAUAAGCACCGGCUAACUCUGUGCCAGCAGCCGCCGUAAAAC
rnacentral:rRNA from 1 species